ensembl:lncRNA
UUCAAAAGAAGACGUAGUUGAUGAAGGCGUUCUGGAGCGGGACCAGAAAGACCACGACCAAGCAGCCUUGAGAUCUUAGACAGCGUCUCCCUCAGGUCCCUCUCUAUCUCCCCACACAUCCACCAACCACUGGAACACAUCUCCAAAGUUCUGCUGGGCCAGCUCAGCUUCCCCUCAGAAGAAGUGGCGCCACCUGCCAGAUGAAGGAGCCUUUUGAGAGGCAGCUGGCAUCGUGAUUGGACUGUACUUUGGUCUGUUCCAAUCCAGCUUCAGCUCCAGAGACGGCAGGCGGGACGAGUCAACGGAGGCCGGGUGGACGAAGGCAUGAAGCUGAGUACAAUCCAGAAAACAACAGAGGAGGAGGAAACAAACGUAGUAGUAUAGUAGAAAAUAUACAUAGUAUAUUGUAUAAAUAACAAAUCAAAGGAAAGAGAUAUACAUUGUAGAAUUGCAGUAAUUGUGAACUGACUGAUUUACUGAUUAUCAGC